ACUAAGCGUACACGGUGGAUGCCCUGGCAGUCAGAGGCGAUGAAGGACGUGCUAAUCUGCGAUAAGCGCCGGUAAGGUGAUAUGAACCGUUAUAACCGGCGAUUUCCGAAUGGGGAAACCCAGUGUGAUUCGUCACACUAUCAUUAACUGAAUCCAUAGGUUAAUGAGGCGAACCGGGGGAACUGAAACAUCUAAGUACCCCGAGGAAAAGAAAUCAACCGAGAUUCCCCCAGUAGCGGCGAGCGAACGGGGAGGAGCCCAGAGCCUGAAUCAGCAUGUGUGUUAGUGGAAGCGUCUGGAAAGGCGCGCGAUACAGGGUGACAGCCCCGUACACAAAAGCGCAUGUGUUGUGAGCUCGAUGAGUAGGGCGGGACACGUGGUAUCCUGUCUGAAUAUGGGGGGACCAUCCUCCAAGGCUAAAUACUCCUGACUGACCGAUAGUGAACCAGUACCGUGAGGGAAAGGCGAAAAGAACCCCGGCGAGGGGAGUGAAAAAGAACCUGAAACCGUGUACGUACAAGCAGUGGGAGCUGAGGGAAAGGCGAAAAGAACCCCGGCGAGGGGAGUGAAAAAGAACCUGAAACCGUGUACGUACAAGCAGUGGGAGCCCCACCACUAAGCCAGUGGUGAACUCCACAUACGCAUCCUUUGCUGAGGAUACGGUUAACGGAGCGCAAGCGACGUUCAACCGCAAAAGAAGCAGAGGGGGCUUAGUGGUGGGGUGACUGCGUACCUUUUGUAUAAUGGGUCAGCGACUUAUAUUCUGUAGCAAGGUUAACCGUAUAGGGGAGCCGCAGGGUGACUGCGUACCUUUUGUAUAAUGGGUCAGCGACUUAUAUUCUGUAGCAAGGUUAACCGUAUAGGGGAGCCGCAGGGAAACCGAGUCUUAACCGGGCGUUAAGUUGCAGGGUAUAGACCCGAAACCCGGUGAUCUAGCCAUGGGCAGGUUGAAGGUUGGGUAACACUAACUGGAGGACCGAACCGACUAAUGUUGAAAAAUUAGCGGAUGACCUGUGGCUGGGGGUGAAAGGCCAAUCAAACCGGGAGAUAGCUGGUUCUCCCCGAAAGCUAUUUAGGUAGCGCCUCGUGAAUUCAUCUCCGGGGGUAGAGCACUGUUUCGGCUAGGGGGCCAUCCCGGCUUACCAACCCGAUGCAAACUGCGAAUACCGGAGAAUGUUAUCACGGGAGACACACGGCGGGUGCUAACGUCCGUCGUGAAGAGGGAAACAACCCAGACCGCCAGCUAAGGUCCCAAAGUCAUGGUUAAGUGGGAAACGAUGUGGGAAGGCCCAGACAGCCAGGAUGUUGGCUUAGAAGCAGCCAUCAUUUAAAGAAAGCGUAAUAGCUCACUGGUCGAGUCGGCCUGCGCGGAAGAUGUAACGGGGCUAAACCAUGCACCGAAGCUGCGGCAGCGAACGUAUCACUUAAAGCGAUUCAGCGGGUUACGAUUGACGGAGCGAAGCGACGUCAAAGCGUAUACAAAGUCGAGUCGGUUUAAGGAUACGUUCGUUGGGUAGGGGAGCGUUCUGUAAGCCUGUGAAGGUGGCCUGUGAGGGUUGCUGGAGGUAUCAGAAGUGCGAAUGCUGUUGGGUAGGGGAGCGUUCUGUAAGCCUGUGAAGGUGGCCUGUGAGGGUUGCUGGAGGUAUCAGAAGUGCGAAUGCUGACAUAAGUAACGAUAAAGCGGGUGAAAAGCCCGCUCGCCGGAAGACCAAGGGUUCCUGUCCAACGUUAAUCGGGGCAGGGUGAGUCGACCCCUAAGGCGAGGCCGAAAGGCGUAGUCGAUGGGAAACGGGUUAAUAUUCCCGUACUUGGUGUUACUGCGAAGGGGGGACGGAGAAGGCUAUGUUGGCCGGGCGACGGUUGUCCCGGUUUAAGCGUGUAGGUGUGUGUUCCAGGUAAAUCCGGUUCACUUUAACACUGAGGCGUGAUGACGAGGCACUACGGUGCUGAAGCAACAAAUGCCCUGCUUCCAGGAAAAGCCUCUAAGCAUCAGGUAACAUCAAAUCGUACCCCAAACCGACACAGGUGGUCAGGUAGAGAAUACCAAGGCGCUUGAGAGAACUCGGGUGAAGGAACUAGGCAAAAUGGUGCCGUAACUUCGGGAGAAGGCACGCUGACAUGUAGGUGAAGUGAUUUACUCAUGGAGCUGAAGUCAGUCGAAGAUACCAGCUGGCUGCAACUGUUUAUUAAAAACACAGCACUGUGCAAACACGAAAGUGGACGUAUACGGUGUGACGCCUGCCCGGUGCCGGAAGGUUAAUUGAUGGGGUCAGCGCAAGCGAAGCUCCUGAUCGAAGCCCCGGUAAACGGCGGCCGUAACUAUAACGGUCCUAAGGUAGCGAAAUUCCUUGUCGGGUAAGUUCCGACCUGCACGAAUGGCGUAAUGAUGGCCAGGCUGUCUCCACCCGAGACUCAGUGAAAUUGAACUCGCUGUGAAGAUGCAGUGUACCCGCGGCAAGACGGAAAGACCCCGUGAACCUUUACUAUAGCUUGACACUGAACAUUGAGCCUUGAUGUGUAGGAUAGGUGGGAGGCUUUGAAGUGUGGACGCCAGUCUGCAUGGAGCCGACCUUGAAAUACCACCCUUUAAUGUUUGAUGUUCUAACGUGGACCCGUAAUCCGGGUUGCGGACAGUGUCUGGUGGGUAGUUUGACUGGGGCGGUCUCCUCCUAAAGAGUAACGGAGGAGCACGAAGGUUGGCUAAUCCUGGUCGGACAUCAGGAGGUUAGUGCAAUGGCAUAAGCCAGCUUGACUGCGAGCGUGACGGCGCGAGCAGGUGCGAAAGCAGGUCAUAGUGAUCCGGUGGUUCUGAAUGGAAGGGCCAUCGCUCAACGGAUAAAAGGUACUCCGGGGAUAACAGGCUGAUACCGCCCAAGAGUUCAUAUCGACGGCGGUGUUUGGCACCUCGAUGUCGGCUCAUCACAUCCUGGGGCUGAAGUAGGUCCCAAGGGUAUGGCUGUUCGCCAUUUAAAGUGGUACGCGAGCUGGGUUUAGAACGUCGUGAGACAGUUCGGUCCCUAUCUGCCGUGGGCGCUGGAGAACUGAGGGGGGCUGCUCCUAGUACGAGAGGACCGGAGUGGACGCAUCACUGGUGUUCGGGUUGUCAUGCCAAUGGCACUGCCCGGUAGCUAAAUGCGGAAGAGAUAAGUGCUGAAAGCAUCUAAGCACGAAACUUGCCCCGAGAUGAGUUCUCCCUGAGACUUAAAGUCUCCUGAAGGAACGUUGAAGACGACGACGUUGAUAGGCCGGGUGUGUAAGCGCAGCGAUGCGUUGAGCUAACCGGUACUAAUGAACCGUGAGGCUUAACC
rnacentral:rRNA from 1 species